AUUGAACGCUGGCGGCAGGCCUAACACAUGCAAGUCGAGCGAGCGGCGGACGGGUGAGUAAUGUAUGGGGACUGCCUGAUAGAGGGGGAUAACUACUGGAAACGGUGGCUAAUACCGCAUACUAUCGGAUAACCCAUAUGGGAUUAGCUGGUAGUUAAGGUAACGGCUUACCUAGGCGACGAUCCCUAGCUGGUCUGAGAGGAUGAUCAUCCAGACGGGGACGGUGACACGGCCCAGACUCCUACGGAGGCAUCAGAGGGGAAUAUUGGGCAAUGGGCGCAAGCCUGAUGCAGCCAUGCCGCGUGAAUGAAGAAGGCCUUCGGAUUUUAAAGUUCUUUCGAUAGCGAGGCGUUACCUACAGAGGAAGCACCGGCUAACUCCGUGCCAGCAGCCGCGGUAAUAC
rnacentral:rRNA from 1 species